rnacentral:rRNA from 1 species
CACGUAGUUAGCCGUGGCUUUCUGAUUAGGUACCGUCAAGACGUGCACAGUUACUUACACAUUUGUUCUUCCCUAAUAACAGAGUUUUACGAUCCGAAGACCUUCAUCACUCACGCGGCGUUGCUCCGUCAGGCUUUCGCCCAUUGCGGAAGAUUCCCUACUGCUGCCUCCCGUAGGAGUCUGGACCGUGUCUCAGCUCCAGUGUGGCCGAUCACCCUCUCAGGUCGGCUACGUAUCGUUGCCUUGGUAAGCCAUUACCCCACCAACUAGCUAAUACGGCGCGGGUCCAUCUAUAAGUGAUAGUAAAACCAUCUUUCACUUUAGAACCAUGCGGUUCUAAAUAUUAUCCGGCAUUAGCCCCGGUUUCCCGGAGUUAUUCCAGUCUUAUAGGUAGGUUACCCACGUGUUACUCACCCGUCCGCCGCUAACGUCAAAGGAGCAAGCUCCUUAUCUGUUCGCUCGACUUGCAUGUAUUAGGCACGCCGCCAGCGUUCAUCCUGAGCCAGGAUCAAACUCU